rnacentral:tRNA from 1 species
UCUCUGGAGGUCCAGUGGCUAAGACUCCAUACUUCCAAUGCAGGGGGCCCAGGUUCAACCCCUGGUCAGGGAA